GUCUGUAGUACUCAGCUGCGUACAUCUGUAAUUGGCGGUAGGGGAGGAACCGACGGGUUCGUAACCCCCCCCCCACUGAGGCUCCGGGAGACGUCCCAGGAGUG
rfam:Mesocricetus auratus contig182676, whole genome shotgun sequence.